GACAGUAUAGCUCAAGUGGUAGAGUGCAUGCCUAGCAUGCACAAGGUCCUGGGUUCAAUCCCCAGUACUGUCU
rnacentral:tRNA from 1 species